GGGAAUGUGACUCAGUGGUAGAGGUCUUGCCUUGCAUGCAUGAGGCCCUGGGUUCGAUUCCUCAGUACCA
rfam:Dipodomys ordii contig_7557, whole genome shotgun sequence.